AGGGGGCCCCCCGGGACAAUGCGGCGGCCGGGGCGCGUGCGGGGCCCGCUUCUCCCCCUGGCCUAGCGCGGGCCUCCACUCCUGUCCCUACAGUGGGGGCGCUCUGUGAGAGGGGCAACGCUGACCCGGUCCGAAGAGGCGGGGGGCCGUGGGAGGAGGGGGAAUGGCUGUUCCGCGGGGGGAGGGAACACAUCGAGCAGAAGAAAAUGGCGCUUGGAGCAAGUCCCUCCUCUUCCCACACGGUCUCCUCCGCAGUUCGCCGCCUCCCACGCCCCCUCCCACCAACCUGUCUCCCCUCGCCUGAGCCUUUGCCAGCCCCGGGGUUCAGGCUGCCUCCUGGCACCGGGCGACCCCAUCCCCCUUCUUGGGGCUUGUCCCUCGUGGUGUACGGUAUCCAUGUGCCCUUCAAUCCCACCUUAUUUUCACCCUCUUCUAAUCCGCCCCCCCACCAUCAUCAAAGACCGAAGUUGCGUUUUGUAUACAGUCUACAAUACUGCUUUUUAAUACGAUUUGCCUGAAUUACGAGGCCACCUCCAACCUUUGUGGACCGGCGAAGACUCAUUAAGUAAAAGAAUACUUUGUCAGAAGUUGAAAAACUCAGGCUAAAAAAAUCCUGUUUUAUUUGAAUAGACUUUUUAUUUGGGUUAAAUAGGUGGUUCUUUGAAAUGGUUUUAGGCCCCCAGGCAGCGUUUAAUAACACGGUAUAGUUAUGCUUGACCGUUUCAAAGUGAAAAAUAGGUUAUGUUCAAUUUAAUGACCUUAAAACAUUUUUUUUUUUUUUUUUUUGGCAGUUAUAUUUGCAGCCAGCAUGAGCUAAGUUGAUUUUUGGAGUUUAGAUUGUAAGAUAAAGCAGUAACAGGAACAACAGUGUGUGAAAUGAUUGUGUGCGUUGUUGCUCUCCUCUGAAUUUCCUCUUUUCGCGUUCAAGAAAUUACCAGUUAAAAUCACUAUAGUUCGGUUGGACAUGGUUUGAGCUUUUCUAAUUUGCCAAUACUGGGAUGGCCUACUUCUUUUACCUUGACCUCCUACUGUGGAACACACUCAAUCCCAGUGCUAAUGCAAGGUUGGUCUAGAGAGCUAGAUUAUGAUUUUUCUGAGAAGAAAUUGAAGUCUCAUUGCCUUUAUUCAGGAAACAUUUACAGAGUGUGUGUAGGUCCUUUAGGACCUACAAAAAUGAGUAGGACCCAGUCUUUUCUGAGAUGGAGAUGGGGAAAGCAAAAAAAAAAGGCACUGAUAAUUAGUGUUUUACCACCAGGUGUUGUAAGGGCCUUGAAAAGCAGUACUGCGUGCCUUGGGAUUCCUUGACAUUUUGGAAUGUAGGCCUACUGAUGGUUUUAUCUCUGAAAACACAGGCACAAGGCACUCAGCUCAGGCACUCAGCAUAUGAAAGCAAGGCACUGAGCUAUGUACCUCUAUGUCUGAAGAGCCAGGGGCAUGGUAGGAAUUUGAGGAAAGGGUUUUCCCUUUCCAUAAGCAGAUUCUUCAAAUUUUAAUUAUGUUCCAGAGUAGAAAAUCAGUAUAAAAUGUAAUGAAUUACUGUGAGUUGUGUAUAUUUUAGAUAAGGCUACCUAAUCCUCCCUAAAAUGAAGCGUAAGAGGACUCAGUGGCUUUGAGAAAGCAGUGUAGGAGUCUGGGAUGUGUAUGACAUUUAGUUCUUUUUCCUUGCUGGGUUCAGAACAUUUCCCUUUGCAUGUUAUUUUCAGUUUGGAAGAGCAUAGAUUAAAAGGCACUAGCAUUUGUGCUCAGGGUAACAACUCCAGUGCCGGAAGAAGGUAGAAUGAAUCAUGGAGUUACUUGUCCUUGGUUUUCAGUUUGGGAGAGAGUAAGGUGAAGGCAAUCAAACAACUUGUGAAUUAUUUACAUAAUUACUUUUCUUUCAGAAUGCCUAAAUCAAAGGAACUUGUUUCUUCAAGCUCAUCUGGCAGUGAUUCUGAUAGUGAAGUCGACAAAAAGGUGACUGUUAACUACACCACAUGCAGUUGUGAAAGGAUGGUAAAAGGCAUGUCAGUCUUAGAAUGAGAGCCUGGCUGGGUGUAUCUGAAAGUGUGGAUGGCCUCUGGACCACUUGACUAGAAGUGUCUAGAAUGCUUGUAGAACAUCCACAUUCCUGGGACCUAAAUCAGACUGAAGCAGUCAUUUUAACAAGUCCUCUAUUGAGUCUCAAGAAGUUGCCCUAGUUCCUACGGGAAUAGAAUUAGAAUUUAGAUCAAAGCUGCUCUUUGCAUCUAAUUUGUAGGCCAGAUUACCUGGAUUCCUUGAAUGUAGACGUUAAUUUUGACAGCCAUCUCCUCAGCCAGUGGUGUUUAUCCUCCCCACAGGGUUUACUAAAUCUUAGUUAAAUCAACACCUAGCAAAGCUAAUGUGAAAUGACUAGCCCCAUUUUUACAGAAUUGACUUUUUCUGCAUUGAAUGACAACUCUGCUGUAAUGGUGCGUUCUGCUCAAGCCAGAGAUUUUUGUGAGCAUCUCACUGCAGCCAAGGCUUCCCUCUACUCUGAACUGUCCUGUAUCUCUUGGAUAAAGCUUACAUAGUUGUUUCUGAGCUCAGGUAACAGUGUUAGCUAAAAUGAGAGAGAGCUUGUUUGGGAGUAUCUUAGUGAAGUUGGACCUGUAUAGAGAAAUAAAAAGUACAGUAUCACCUGGAAAGGCUUCAGAGAGCAUAAAUAGCUAUAUUUGAGAGGAAAUCUUGUCUUAAUUUUUAAAAUUGUGCCCAGUAUAGCAUUUGAGUAUGUUCAUUGAAUUUUUGUUGUGCAUUUAUGUGCCAGGCAUGGUCCACAGGGAAUACCCAGUCCGUGAUUUAAAGAAUAGCUAUCUGCUUAUUGAGCCAAGUUAAUUUUUGUUAUUUGGUCUCAAAUAGGGCUUUUAAUUUUGUAAGCGUUUAAGUUACAUUUAGGUUUUUCAUAUCGUUAGGUAUAUCUAGGUAUAUACCUAAUGUAAAUAUAAACGUAUAUAUGUAUGUAUGUAUAUGGUAAACUUAAUCAUAUUAGAGGGUCAGCGAAAAGAGAGGAAGACCCUCAAUGGGAUGGAUUGACACAGUGGCUGCAACGUUGGGCUCAAGCAUUACAAUUGUGAGGAUGGUGCAGGACUGGGCAGUGUUCUGUUGUACAGAGGAUCACUAUGAGUCAGAACCGACUUGAUGGCACCUAUCAGCAACAGUAAUCAUAUUAAUAUUUUACUAAAUUGGAUGAAACUAAACCCGCUGCUGUUGAGUUGAUCCUGACUUAAGUAAAAAAUUUGUAUUUUGCCUAUCUUCAUCUAAUUUUAGUAAAAUAUAAUUACACUUUUUCACUGAGAAGGAACAUGACUGCCCUCUACUGUUCGGGAUGGGAACUCUAGUUUUUUUAUGGGCUGUUAGCACAUUUUGAGAAUGAAGUUAUUUAAAAAGCUUUUAUAAUAUAGCUUCUAAAACAUUGUGAUUUUGAGUGCUGGUCAAACAUUGCUCCUCCUUCAGUAAUUUUUUGUGAUGAGGAGGUGCUGGAAUUGCUGACUUGGCAGUGCCCAAGUACAAAAUGGCUCUUGAAUUAUUGCCUAAUCUAACUUAAUUCUGUUUCGGAAUAAGGCAGGGCGUAAAUCAUAUCCUAGAAGUGAUAUACGUUGGUUGUUUUCUUCCUAAUUAGUACAUCUUCUUUGUUAAAAAAAAAUAAAUAAGUGACUUAAUAACCUAAGUAGUUCUGUGAUUCCCAAAAGUAGCAGGCUCUACCAUCUUUUUUCCCUCCCAAAGAAAUCUUAUAUGAGAUGCCAGCCUUUUCCCCUCCCCCCAAAAUAAAAAUGAUUCUCUUGCUAUUAGCACCACACAUGACAUACCUCUUGGCUCCUGAGAAUAUGGUUUGAAACACUGUAUUAGAUAUGUGUUAGGUUGUCAAGUGAAAAUUAUAUAUUUAUGAUUUUUUUCACUAACGAAUAAAUGAAUAUAAUCUUUUGGUUCUUUAAUUCUUAAGAAGUAAUGGGAUUUUUGGAACCUAGAGAUGUUUUACUCUUGUGUGUGCAAAUUUUAAGCAUAUUCUUGUGUUUUUCAAGUUAAAGAGGAAAAAGCAAGUUGCUCCAGAAAAACCUGUAAAGAAACAAAAGACUGGUGAAACUUCGAGAGCCCUGUCAUCCUCCAGGCAGAGCAGCAGCAGCAGGGAUGAUAACAUGUUUCAGGUGAAGUUCGUUAUUUCAGAUUGGGAAAAUGAGGUACGUCAGUGUUCGGGACUUUAAAGGCAAAGUUCUAAUUGAUAUUAGAGAAUAUUGGAUGGAUCAGGAAGGUGAAAUGAAACCAGGAAGAAAA